rnacentral:rRNA from 1 species
UUGCACGCUGGCGGCAGGCCUCACACAUGCAAGUCGAACGGUAACAGGAAGCAGCUUGCUGCUUCGCUGACGAGUGGCGGACGGGUGAGUAAUGUCUGGGAAGCUGCCUGAUGGAGGGGGAUAACUACUGGAAACGGUAGCUAAUACCGCAUAAUGUCGCAAGACCAAAGAGGGGGACCUUCGGGCCUCUUGCCAUCGGAUGUGCCCAGAUGGGAUUAGCUUGUUGGUGGGGUAACGGCUCACCAAGGCGACGAUCCCUAGCUGGUCUGAGAGGAUGACCAGCCACACUGGAACUGAGACACGGUCCAGACUCCUACGGGAGGCAGCAGUGGGGAAUAUUGCACAAUGGGCGCAAGCCUGAUGCAGCCAUGCCGCGUGUAUGAAGAAGGCCUUCGGGUUGUAAAGUACUUUCAGCGGGGAGGAAGGGAGUAAAGUUAAUACCUUGGCUCAUUGACGUUACCCGCAGAAGAAGCACCGGCUAACUCCGUG